UACGUAGGUGGCAAGCGUUGUCCGGAUUUACUGGGCGUAAAGGAUGCGUAGGCGGAUAUUUAAGUCAGAUGUGAAAUUCCCGAGCUUAACUUGGGAGCUGCAUUUGAAACUGGGUAUCUAGAGUGUGGGAGAGGAAAGUGGAAUUCCUAGUGUAGCGGUGAAAUGCGUAGAGAUUAGGAAGAACCCCAGUGGCGAAGGCGACUUUCUGGACCAUAACUGACGCUGAGGCAUGAAAGCG
rnacentral:rRNA from 1 species